GCCACGACUCAAAAACAAAUUUUCUGAAGAACCGGAUUUUACCGUCAAAAGUCUUUAAAAAAGACUUAAAAAGCCGUAAAAAGGACUUAAAAAGACCAACUGAUCACUUCAAAUCGUCAAAAGCAUCUUUGUAAAGUAACUGCUUAAGUAAGUUGAAGAUAUUACAGCGAAAAGCAGUGGGGGAAAAUGCAAUCGGCAUCUUUUGAAUGUGACUUCUUUGCGAUUGAUCGUGGAAAGUGGUUUCCUUUCAAUCUGUAAAGCAUAACAACACAUCGACGAAAAUAGUCACUGAAAGAAGUUUUUCUUAAGAAGAAGAUUUUUGCUGAGCUACGUGACUUCUUAAGGACAACCGAAGGACUAAACAACCUUUGAUUUUUGCUGUUUUCUCGGCACAAGUGUGAUCUUAACAUGUUGAACAGAAAUCGUAAAAACACAAGCAGUGAGCAUUGGCUGUAUGGACAACAACAGCCAGUUCAUUACAACCCUUUUGGGCAGGAUUGUUUUGCUAUUUAAUAUGUGACUUUAGCAAAAUGGAGCACAUUAAGAAGAAAAUAUUUUGCUUAAUUUGUGCAAUCGUCCUGACUUCAAUAACCGCAGAAAUGGGAAGAUCUUCGCCUGACAUUGUUGAUCAAUGCAGUUGCAGCUUUGACGCUGGAAAUCUAUGCAACUGGUCACACGACACGACCAUGUCACUUCUGUGGAGCUAUUCGGCUAAUGUUACUACAACUAAAAUGACUAGUCCUUCCAAGUAUUCAGGUAUGCUUUAAAACAUGUUGUUACAGUCAAAACGGUUCAAGGUAAUCCCCCCCCU